rnacentral:rRNA from 1 species
UUCCGGUUGAUCCUGCCAGAUCCGACUGCUAUCCGGGUGAGACUAAGCCAUGCGAGUCGAAUGGAAUGCCCUGCAUUCCAUGGCGGACUGCUCAGUAACAAGUGAUCAACUUACCCUUCAGAAGUGUAUAACCUCGGGAAACUGAGGAUAAUACACUAUAUUUGGAAAAGUCUGGAACGAUUUUCCAUUCAAAGAGUCUUCCAAUUGGGGAAAAUUUCGCUGAAGGAUAGGAUCGCUCCCGAUUAUGGUCGAUGGUGAGGUAAUGGCUCACCAUGCCUAUGAUCGGUAAGGGCCGUGAGAGCGGAAGCCCUGAGAUGGGUACUGAGACAAGGACCCAGGUCUUACGAGACGCAGCAGGCGCGAAACCUUUACAAUGCGCGAAAGCGUGAUAAGGUUACCCAGAGUGCUAGGGGGCGAAAUCCCCUAGCUGUUGUAGAGUGUAGAUAUCUCUACGAGAAAGGAGAGGGCAAGGCUGGUGCCAGCCGCCGCGGUAAAACCAGCUCUUCAAGUGGUCGGGCCAAUUAUUGGGCUUAAAGUGUCCGUAGCCGGUUUAGUAAGUUCCUGGUUAAAUUUGGCAGCUUAACUGUCACAUUGCUAGGAAUACUGCUUUACUAGGGGGCGGGAAAGGUCUGAGGUACUCCAGGGGUAGCGGUGAAAUGCGAUAAUCCUUGGGGGACCACCAGUGGCGAAAGCGUCAGACUGGAACGCGCCCGACGGUGAGGGACGAAAGCCAGGGGAGCGAACGGGAUUAGAUACCCCGGUAGUCCUGGCUGUAAACGAUGCGCGCUAGGUGUUGGUAGGGCUAUGAGCUGUAUCAGUGCCGUAGGGAAACUGUUAAGCGCGCCGCCUGGGAAGUACGCUCGCAAGAGUGAAACUUAAAGGAAUUGGCGGG